GGCAGGGCUCCCCCGCCCAGCAGCCACUCCCCUCCCUGCCCGCUCAUGGCCGCCUGCUCUCCCUUUCCUCCCCGUACCCCCAGACCUGUGCUUGCCCGGGGAGAGUCAGGGCUCUCUUGUCAGCUGGGUCCCCUCCUGGCCCUGGGAGGCUGCCACUGGAGCCCUGCCUCUUCCUGGCAGGGAGCAUCGAGUACAGCUGUCCGGCCUCCAACGAGUGUGAGAUCACCAAGCGGAGACGCAAGGCCUGCCAGGCCUGCCGCUUCACCAAGUGCCUGCGGGUGGGCAUGCUCAAGGAGGGAGUGCGCCUGGACCGCGUCCGGGGUGGGCGGCAGAAGUACAAGCGGCGGCCGGAGGUGGACCCACUGCCCUUCCCGGGCCCCUUCCCUGCUGGGCCCCUGGCAGUCGCUGGAGGUCCCCGGAAGACAGACUCUGUGCACAUCGAAGAUGCCGAGGCUGUGGAGCAGCUGCGAGAAGCUCUGCACGAGGCCCUGCUGGAGUACGAAGCCGGCCGGGCUGGCCCCGGAGGGGGUGCUGAGCGGCGGCGGGCGGGCAGGCUGCUGCUCACGCUACCGCUCCUCCGCCAGACAGCGGGCAAAGUGCUGGCCCAUUU
rnacentral:sRNA from 1 species